rnacentral:rRNA from 1 species
UACGAAGGGGGCUAGCGUUGCUCGGAAUCACUUGGCGUAAAGGGUGCGUAGGCGGGGCUUUAAGUCAGGGGUGAAAUCCUGGAGCUCAACUCCAGAACUGCCUUUGAUACUGAAGAUCUUGAGUUCGGGAGAGGUGAGUGGAACUGCGAGUGUAGAGGUGAAAUUCGUAGAUAUUCGCAAGAACACCAGUGGCGAAGGCGGCUCACUGGCCCGAUACUGACGCUGAGGCACGAAAGCGUGGGGAGCAAACAGG